AUUGAACGCUGGCGGCAGGCCUAACACAUGCAAGUCGAACGGUAACAGGAAGCAGCUUGCUGCUUUGCUGACGAGUGGCGGACGGGUGAGUAAUGUCUGGGAAACUGCCUGAUGGAGGGGGAUAACUACUGGAAACGGUAGCUAAUACCGCAUAACUUCGCAAGCCCAAAGAGGGGGACCUUCGGGCCUCUUGCCAUCGGAUGUGCCCAGAUGGGAUUAGCUAGUAGGUGGGGUAACGGCUCACCUAGGCGACGAUCCCUAGCUGGUCUGAGAGGAUGACCAGCCACACUGGAACUGAGACACGGUCCAGACUCCUACGGGAGGCAGCAGUGGGGAAUAUUGCACAAUGGGCGCAAGCCUGAUGCAGCCAUGCCGCGUGUAUGAAGAAGGCCUUCGGGUUGUAAAGUACUUUCAGCGGGGAGGAAGGGAGUAAAGUUAAUACCUUUGCUCAUUGACGUUACCCGCAGAAGAAGCACCGGCUAACCACGUG
rnacentral:rRNA from 1 species